rnacentral:rRNA from 1 species
CCUACGGGAGGCAGCAGGGGGGAAUAUUGGGCAAUGGGCGCAAGCCUGACCCAGCAAAGCCGCGGGAAGGAAGAAGGCUUUCGGGUGGUAAACUUCUUUUCUCAGGGACGAAGCAAGUGACGGUACCUGAGGAAUAAGCGACGGCUAACUACGUGACAGCAGCCGCGGUAAUACGUAGGGGGCAAGCGUUAUCCGGAUGUACUGGGUGUAAAGGGCGUGUAGGCGGGGUCGCAAGUCAGAUGUGAAAACCACGGGCUCAACCUGUGGCCUGCAUUUGAAACUAUGUUUCUUGAGUACUGGAGAGGCAUACGGAAUUCCUAGUGUAGCGGUGAAAUGCGUAGAUAUUAGGAGGAACACCAGUGGCGAAGGCGGUCUGCUGAACAGCAUCUGACGCUGCGGCGCGCACGCGUGGGGAGCAAACAGGAUUAGAUACCCUGGUAGUC